GACGAACGCUGGCGGCGUGCUUAACACAUGCAAGUCGAACGGAAAGGCCCGGCUUUGGUGGGGUGCUCGAGUGGCGAACGGGUGAGUAACGCGUGAGUAACCUGCCCUUGACUUGGGGAUAACUUCAGGAAACGGGGGCUAAUACCGGAUAGGAGCUCCUGCUGCAUGGGGGGGGUUGGAAAGGUUCGGCGGUUGGGGAUGGACUCGUGGCGUAUCAGCUUGUUGGUGGGGUAGUGGCUUACCAAGGCUGUGACGGGUAGCCGGCCUGCGGGGGUGACCGGCCACAUUGGGACUGGGAUACGGCCCAGACUCCUCCGGGAGGCAGCAGUGCGGAAUAUUGCACAAUGGGCGGAAGCCUGAUGCAGCGCCGCCGCGUGCGGGAUGACGGCCUUCGGGUUGUAAACCGCUUUCGCCUGUGACGAAGCGUGAGUGACGGUAAUGGGUAAAGAAGCACCGGCUAACUACGUG
rnacentral:rRNA from 1 species